rnacentral:rRNA from 1 species
UACAGAGGUGGCAAGCGUUGUUCGGAAUUACUGGGCGUAAAGGGCGCGUAGGCGGCCUUGUAAGUCCUGUGUGAAAUCCCCCGGCUCAACUGGGGAACUGCACAGGAGACUGCUUGGCUUGAGUUCGGGAGAGGGAAGCGGAAUUCCGGGUGUAGCGGUGAAAUGCGCAGAUAUCAGGAGGAACACCAAUGGCGAAGGCAGCUCGCUGGAACGGUACUGACGCUGAGGCGCGAAAGCGUGGGGAGCGAACAGG